UUCUUCGGGGCAGGGUGAUAUUCCAAGGAAUAGAUUCCCGACCGACGGUGAUUGAGCAAUCAAAAGUCCGUGAACUGUCUGCGAGAUAUAGACAGCCGAUUCGGUGCAAAUCCGAAACCGACAGUAUAGUCUGGAUGAGAGAAGAUG
rnacentral:ncRNA from 1 species